GACGCCGCGUGCGGGAAGAAGGCCUUCGGGUUGUAAACCGCUUUCAGGAGGGACGAAGCCACUCGGGUUAAUAGCCCAGAGGGUGACGGUACCUCCAGAAGAAGCCCCGGCUAACUACGUGCCAGCCACUGCGGUGACUGAGCGGGCUGGCAAGGCGCAUA
rnacentral:rRNA from 1 species